UACAGAGGGGGCAAGCGUUGUUCGGAAUUACUGGGCGUAAAGGGCGCGUAGGCGGCCUGCUAAGUCGAACGUGAAAUCCCCUGGGCUCAACCCAGGAACUGCGUCCGAUACUGGUUGGCUUGAAUCCGGGAGAGGGAUGCGGAAUUCCAGGUGUAGCGGUGAAAUGCGUAGAUAUCUGGAGGAACACCGGUGGCGAAGGCGGCAUCCUGGACCGGCAUUGACGCUGAGGCGCGAAAGCCAGGGGAGCAAACGGG
rnacentral:rRNA from 1 species